AUCCUAUUUUGAAAAUGAACAUAACUGUUCUUUACCGACCUUCCCUAGAGCAAGUGGCAAAAGGUUUACUGGUUGGUACCCAAGACCUAAGUUCGAAUCCUAUUUGAUUCAUAUUUUCAGCUAAAAGAAAUAAACGAAGCGGGUAGCGUACUACCUAUCUCUCAAAAAAAAAAAAAAACAUUAAUUGUUCUUUAAUUUUUGAUACACUCAU
rnacentral:lncRNA from 1 species